UAUCUCUGUAGAGUCUGCAUAUCAAUAAGCGGAGGAAAAGAAACUAACUAGGAUUCCCUCAGUAACGGCGAGUGAAGCGGGAAGAGCUCAAAUUUGAAAUCUUCAAGGUUCUACCUUGACGAAUUGUAGUUUAAAGAAGUGUUUUCUGUUGGAGUUUUGGUAAAAGUUCUUUGGAAUAGGACAUCAUAGAGGGUGAGAAUCCCGUAUUUGACCAUUAUUUCCAACUUUGUGAUACACUUUCAAAGAGUCGGAUUGUUUGGGAAUGCAGUCCAAAAUGGGUGGUAAAUUUCAUCUAAAGCUAAAUACUGGCGAGAGACCGAUAGCGAACAAGUACCGUGAGGGAAAGAUGAAAAGAACUUUGAAAAGAGAGUUAAACAGUACGUGAAAUUGUCAAAAGGGAAGCGUUUGACACCAGUGUUGUUUUCUCGAAAAUCAAUUAAAAAUGGCGGGAUUUUGUGUUGUAUUGACUUUAUCAGCUUUCUGCACUUUUUUCCUGUCUUUUUUAAUGCACUUUUCGUUUAACAAGUCAACAUCAAUUUCUUUUGUUGUAAAAGGGUCAUUGGAAGGUGGCUUUCUUUUCGGAGAAAGUGUUUAUAGCCUUUGACUUCUGCAAUCGGAGAGAUUGAGGUCUGCAGCGUAGAUCCUUCGGGGUUAGAUGCAUUUGUGCUAAGUUAUAGCCUUUCAUAGACAACUUGUUGACUAUGAUCAGUCAUGUAGCUUACUCGCUUAUGUCAUUUUACCUACGCUUAGGAUGUUGAUCUCUCACAGUCGGC
rnacentral:rRNA from 1 species